AUUGAACGCUGGCGGCAGGCUUAACACAUGCAAGUCGAGCGGAGAUGAGGUGCUUGCACCUUAUCUUAGCGGCGGACGGGUGAGUAAUGCUUAGGAAUCUGCCUAUUAGUGGGGGACAACAUUCCGAAAGGAAUGCUAAUACCGCAUACGCCCUACGGGGGAAAGCAGGGGAUCUUCGGACCUUGCGCUAAUAGAUGAGCCUAAGUCGGAUUAGCUAGGUGGGGGGGUAAAGGCCUACCAAGGCGACGAUCUGUAGCGGGUCUGAGAGGAUGGUCCGCCACACUGAGACUGAGACACGGCCCAGACUCCUACGGGAGGCAGCAGUGGGGAAUAUUGGACAAUGGGCGGAAGCCUGAUCCAGCCAUGCCGCGUGUGCGAAGAAGGCCUUUUGGUUGUAAAGCACUUUAAGCGAGGAGGAGGCUACCUGGAUUAAUACUCUAGGAUAGUGGACGUUACUCGCAGAAUAAGCACCGGCUAACUCUGUGCCAGCAGCCGCGGUAAAAC
rnacentral:rRNA from 1 species